GUUACUACUGCCUAGCAGCUGAGCUCUGAGUCUCCAGGAGAAGAAGGAAUCGACAGUAACUUUGAAUUAUCAGGACUAAAACCAUUUAUACCUGAAAAUCACCAGAAAUUAAUUUAUAGCACUGUAGCAGACCUGAUGUACUUGGCCUUUCAUAAAAAAAAGUAACAAAUCCCGUUGGGUCUCCAUCUUCUAUAGACAAGGGAAAUCUUGCUGACAUCACUGCCAGAAAGAAUGGAGGAAAAAUAGCAAGAGAAAAGGAUCCAUUCCCUGCAAGAGAUGCUGAAUCCAGCAGUCUGGUAGAGGUGACGUGGCUGAAGAUCCAUGUCCACAGGUCCAGCUAGUGACAAGGCAGAACAUGUCAUCCCCACAGGCAUGCAAACACAUGUACAACAUGCAUACCCAUAUGACCAGACAAGCACACUCUGUAUGCAUCUAUUAACUGAUGUCAACUGACAUUCAGCCAACUCAGUAACUUGCCCUGGGACAUUCUCAUCCCCAG
rnacentral:lncRNA from 1 species